rnacentral:rRNA from 1 species
UACGGAGGUGGCAAGCGUUACUCGGAAUCAUUGGGUGUAAAGGGCAAGUAGGCGGUCUAUUAAGUGAGGGGUGAAAUCCUGCGACUCAAUCGCAGAACUGCCUUUCAAACUGUUAGACUUGAGGUAGGAAGAGGGAAAUGGAAUUCGCGGUGUAAGGGUGAAAUCUGUAGAUAUCGCGAAGAACACCAGUGGCGAAGGCGAUUUCCUGGUCCUUACCUGACGCUGAAUUGCGAAAGCUAGGGGAGCAAACAGA